ensembl:lncRNA
ACACCUUUUACUUGAGCUCCUCUUCAAGACUCAGUCACCAAAUCGGUGCAUCUUUUCCAUCAGUUGCUCGACUUAACACAUAUUCUGAUGAAAGCAGACGGGUGAAAAAUGCAUUUUUCAAGGCCGGAAAUACUUAUCGUUUGCAUAUCUGCCGUUUGUUUCAGCGAAGCUAUCGAAACCACAUCAGGAAAAGAAACGUUGUGACUCUGUUGUCGGGGGAAACAUGUUCCAGCCGUUAUGGGAUUGAGGGGCUGGUUGCCAGGAAGUGUCCAGACAGCUCCUCCGGGGAGCUCCACUCGGACGACACUACAGGGUGUCGUGGCGCUGUGUGCCCGCCAUGUGGUGAGGGGGCGGAUGUCUUGGCUGUGUCUGGAUCUCAGGGGCCCUACAUACGCAAUGUCAGCCUGGCUGCACUGACAGACGCAGAGCAUGCUGGGAUGCCUUUUCUCCUAAAGGUUUCUGGCUACUUGGCGGCUCCACCCACUCAGCCCACUGGGAUACAAGACCUGGGAGGAGUGAACCUCUCUUCUGUGGAUGUUCAGUUCUGUGGGAAGAGGAACAAAGGUCAAAGUUCACAUAGUGUCAACGUCCGGGAAGAUGGCUUCUUCACCUUUUCUUCUGAUUGGAUGCUAGAAAAUCCUGGAACAUACCAAAUCAAUGUCUCCGUCUCCAACCUACUGUCCCAGCUGUCUUCCUCCCUCCAUCUCUCUGUCUUGAGUCCCUCUCCAGAAGGGUUAGAGGUCAGCCUGGUCCAGGGGUGGGGAGCCACACCAAGCUGCAUUCCCUACCCAGCCCAGGGCCUCCCAACCCAGGCUCUGGGUAAGGCCUACCUGGGUGAAACUCUCACCCUGCUUGCAUACGUAAGAGCUGGAGUCAUGGUUCAGUUCCACUGGAGCUUCAGUGAUGACGAGGAGGAAUUGGAGGAUGAUGAAGAGGAGGGGAAGACUCAGGAUGUCAAGACAAACUGCCUUCCAGAUUCUGACUGUCUGCGCAGCAUUGUGAACCGAACAUUUGAAAGGGAGGGAGUUCACAUUGUUAUGGUCAAUGCUUCCAACUUACAUGGCUGGACUCAGGAAACCAUUCAUAUCGCUGUGGUGAGACGUGUUGCGAGCCGGUUGACCCUGACCUGUCUGUCUGGGUACCACCUAGCUGUGGGUCAGAACAUCUCUUUGGGCCUGAAUCUCCACACCACGCAGAAACAGAACCUGCUGGUUAACCUCACCCUGACGGACCAUGUCCACAGCAGAACCUUCAGCUAUGACAAUCCUGACACGGAGCGCGAUCAAACCCACGGCAAACCGGUGUAUCACGACCUCAAGCAGAACCAAAC